GCUUGUGCUGCCUUUGCCACUUUUAGGAGACAGCGAACGGGAAGCCCCAUUUUCCUUUGUGCUUCAGCUUGUCUUGUCUGCACCAGACUUCAGGAAAGACAACUGAGAUCCCAGCCCAAUCUCCAGCCAUGAGGAUCCUUUACCUUCUGCUUCUUGUUCUCUUCCUGGGCCUCCAGGCAGCCCAAGGAAGCUUUUCAUUUAAAGACACUCGGAAAUGUAAAAGCAACUGGUAUCAUACGGGUGGCCGGUGCCGACUGUGGGGCUGCAAAAUUGGUGAGAAAAGGACUGGAACAUGCUUGGCUGGGUUAAUGGCCUGCUGCCACCCAAUGCACUAAAGAACUCGCUGUGCUGAGUUGAAUGUCCCCAGAAUGGAGACUAGUAACAUCAACAGCAACAUAGAUUGUACGCUCCAGGUGGCAGGGACCUCUG